rnacentral:rRNA from 1 species
UACGAAGGGGGCUAGCGUUGUUCGGAAUCACUGGGCGUAAAGCGCACGUAGGCGGAUUGUUAAGUCAGGGGUGAAAUCCCGGGGCUCAACCUCGGAACUGCCUUUGAUACUGCAAAUCUCGAGUCCGGAAGAGGUGAGUGGAAUUCCUAGUGUAGAGGUGAAAUUCGUAGAUAUUCGCAAGAACACCAGUGGCGAAGGCGGCUCACUGGCCCGAUACUGACGCUGAGGCACGAAAGCGUGGGGAGCAAACAGGGAUUAGAAA